UACGGAGGGUGCAAGCGUUAUCCGGAUUCACUGGGUUUAAAGGGUGCGUAGGCGGACAGGUAAGUCAGUGGUGAAAUCUCUGGGCUUAACUCAGAAACUGCCGUUGAUACUAUUUGUCUUGAAUGUCAUGGAGGUAAGCGGAGUAUGUCAUGUAGCGGUGAAAUGCUUAGAUAUGACAUAGAACACCGAUAGCGAAGGCAGCUUACUACAUGAAGAUUGACGCUGAGGCACGAAAGCGUGGGGAGCAAACAGG
rnacentral:rRNA from 1 species